GACACAGAACCCCGAGGAGCCCUGGCUCUCUCCGUACCCACCUCGCUCCGUAUUUGCUCUGCUCUUACUCAGGGGUUUGUUAGCUGAGGCCUGAGGGCUUUGUCAGCCAUUCGGAUUACACACAUGGCAGACAGUGCCCUCAUCUGCUCUCACCCAUGCCUACUGCCUGGCCGACCCAGACCUGGAUUGGGUGAACGGAAUCUGCUCAGAAGAAGCCUGGGACUGGAACAGCACAGGACCCAGAUAAUCAAGAACAAGUGAAGCCAAGCUGAAGCACUGUCUCACUGGGAGGUUAUCAGAGAGGAAGCAGCCUCACUGAGCCCAUGCUGGCACUGACUCUUCCAGUUAUGUGGGUGCACGCACUGUCCCCUCUUUGCUCCCCAUACACGGAACGUGCUGGUGCUGCACGUGGAGCCGGAGCUCUCGUGGAAGGAGUGACACGCUGAGCUACAUGAGAAACAAACGCUGGCCCUGCAGACAUGCGGCUGAGGGCAGAGGUGGUGCGGAAGCCAGUUCUGCCAGGAGCUGUGUGGAACUUCAGUAAACCAUGUGGGAACCAUUGACUGGAACAAGUGACCCUUCCGAGCUGGAACAAACCCUGCUAACCUCACAGGCUUCUCGGACGGCGCGGUAUUGGAGCGGGAUUGUUUAAAAAUUCUGCUGAUGGGUUGGCUGGGGACCUGGGUUCAAGUGUGGCUUGGGUCAUGAGUGAGCAUGAAUGAGCCAGUUUGGAAACUCGACAAACCCUUCCACAUUUCUAGAGCUGAACUGAAGCCGAGCCAGUCCUGAAAUGUCUGGGUAAGCGUCUAGCCAGCGACUGGAAAUGACAGACUAUUCCAAGGGAGCCCAUUCUUGGGAUACACCCCCCUCCCCCCAGCCCAGCUCUGCAGAUGCAAGACAUUUGGAGAACUCAACAUUUGGGAGCUCAUCUAGACUACGCCCAGACUCUGAAUCUUUGGGGGUUCAGCCGCUGCUGGUCUCAAAUGCCAUGGGACUAUUGUAACAAAAACACUGCAAAACGAUUCUGUGCAAGUUAAAAGCAAAUACAUUAAACCCUUACACGUAUGGACCUGAGCUUAGCAGGGCAAAGAACAUUCACAUCCGUUUUAGCUACACGUACAGCACCCGGGACUCUCCCAGUCGGUGUAUGUGAUGCUGUGGCUGUCCUUGAUAUCCCCCAGUGUGGUGUGGUAGGGGGAGGGAUGCGGCCCCUUGACUUGACCCUCGUGCGAGUGGGGGACAGUUCUCAAGCCAUGACAUCCCCCUCGAGCCAGCUCAGCUCCUAGCCCCGGGAGCAGCUCCCCUCUGAACCCACCAGGCAAAGCAGUCAGAGCUUCGCUAGUCUCUCCCUGCGGGGCAGGUUUUCCAGACCUUCCUGGCACAUGUAACCCCCCAUGACAGACGGGCCACCGACAAGCUGUCUGUGCGGGAGCGGGGUUGCCAGGAUUAGAGAGUGGGGUGCUGGGAAGCACUCUUGGGUCCCAGUUCCCUCUGGGGGGUGAGGCCGACUGUUCUCUGAGCUCUGCCAGGCAAAGUGAGUCUGCAGAGAAUGGCAGGAAGGAGGCGAGGCCAAGCAGCCGCCUUAGAUAAACGGAAAGCCCCAGCCUCCCUGGCCUGGGCUGGGGGCUGACACACAUUCUUGUGACCUAAUUAUCUCCUCUAGGGAGCUGGAUUCCAAGGGACAAAGCAUCUUCAAAGAGGGCUGGGACCUGUUCCAAAGCCCCGCAGGGGGCGGAGAGGAGCUGGGG